ACACUUGGAGACUGAAAGUUGGACUCGUAGGUACUGAGCGUCUUGUUGUGGAGACCAGAUGCAAUGCCUGGGCCUCCUGCUCCAGCUCCCAUCCAGCCCUGGGUCAAAGCCUGCAGGCGAAGGACAGGACAGCAGAGUGAGCUCCAGGAUGUGGAGGAAGGAAGAUGAGGUGUGGUGGGGAAAGGAAAUAAUUCCCUGACUGGUGUCCCUUCCGUUUCGGGAUGAAUUGUCCUCCAGCUGCUCCUGAUUCCUGCGUUAAAGUCCUGGUGUGAUGGCUCACAUCUGUCAUCCCUGCACUUUGAGAGGUGAGAGGAUUGCUUGAGGCCAGGGGUUCAAGACCAGCCUGGGCAACACAGUGAGACCCCAUGUCCACAAUAAAAGAAAUUAGCCAGGCAUGGUGGUGGAUGCCUGUAGUCCCAGCUACUCAGGAGGCUGAGGCAGGAGGAUUGCUCGAGCCCAGGAGUUGGAGGCUACAAUGAGCUGUGAUUGUGCCACCGCAUUCCAGGCUGGGUGACAGAGUGAGACUCUGUCUCAAAACAAAAACAAAAACAAAGACAAAAACAAAUCCUAACCCUUUAGUACUUCAGAAUAAGACUGUAUUUGGAGAUAAGGCCUUUAAAGAGGCAAUUAUGUUAAUGAGGUCAUUAGGGUGGGUCCUGAUCCAAUAUGAUGGAUGUCCUUGUAAGAAAAGGGAACUAGGACGCAGACAUGUGCAGAGGAAAGACCAUGCAAAGACACAGGGAGAAGACGGCCCUCUGCCAGUCAAGGAGACAGGCAUCAGAAAAAAAUCAAUCCUGCCAACACCUUGAUCUCGGCAAAGCUCCAGGCAUGUGAGAAAAUAAGUUCUGCGGCAGCCACCCAGGCUGUGGUAGUUUGUUAUGGCAACCAUCACCCACUAAGACACCGUCUCCAAGACCCUCCUCUAUAGACAGACACCUGAUGCCCAGGCCACCCCUCAGAUGCCAGGGGAAGCUGGCUGGGAAGGGCAUGGGCUUUGGAGCCACCAGCUACACCCUGGAAUCUCUGUUCAUGGCCUUCUAACUGUGGGACCUUGAGCAAGUUACUCCAUCUCUUUAGUCUUGGAGAUCCAUAAAGCUGGAGGUAAUGAACUCUCCCCAGAGCUGUGCAAAUUAAAUGAACUAACAAGUAAAAAGAUAGAUUUAUUUAUUUAUUUUAGACAGGGCCUCCCUCUGUCACCCAGGCUGGAGUGAGUGCAGUGUGCGAUCACAGCUCACUGCAGCCUCGACUUCCCAGGCUCAACUGAUCUCAGCCUCUGAAGGAGCUGGGAUUACAGGUGUGUGCCACCAUGCCCAGCUAAUUUUUUCAUCUUUUGUAUGUUGCCCAGGCUGAUCUCAAACUUCUGGGCUUAAGAGAUCCUCCUGCCUUGGCCUCCUGAAGUGCUGGGAUUAUAAGCAUGAGUCACCUCGCCCAGCCAUGUAAAAAGAUUUAAUAUGCCUGAGGCCCAAGGACUCUAAUACGUUCUCCAAUUUUACCUACUCUAGGGGACAUUUGCUGUGUUUUGCAGCCACACUGGGCAGCCUGUCUCUUUGGAGGAAAUGCCAAGAUCUGCGGGGGUCUGGCCCUGUUUCCCACUGUGUGCAGAUGAAUCUUCUAACCACCUGUCUUCUGGAAGUGGGGACAGGAAGUGGAGCCAGUUCUGCCAGGUCCUCCCAUUCAGAUGGUGGGCUCCUGAAGAAGUGACAUAGAGAACUCAUGGAGGUGACAGUGGAGACAGGCUCCCAGCGGAGGGCAGCAAGGACCAAUGAUGGUGUGAGUGUCCACUGAGAGUGCCAUUGGUGGCGUCCCAGGCAGCAGUUCUGGAGGCCACAAGUGUGAAAUCAAGAUGUCAGCAGUGCCAUACUCUCUCUGAAGUCUGUUGGAGAGAACUCUUCUUUGUCUCUCCCAGUUUCUGGUGGUUUCCAGCAAUCCGUGGCUUCCUUGGCUUGUCGUCGCAUCAUUCCAGUCUCAGUCAUCAUGCGGCCUCCUCACUAUGUGUCUGUCUGUGUUUACAUUUUCCUCUUCUCAUAAGGGCAGCAGUAAAUGGAUUAGGCAUGCUAGUAUAUCUUCUUCGCUUGAUGGCAUCUGCAGACUCUGUUUCCAAAUAAGGCCUUGUUCAUGGGUACUGGGGUUAGGACUUCAACACCUCAUUUCUAGUCUCCUAUAUCACCAUGAAGAAAGCUAUGCUAGAAAGCUAUGUCUUUGUUACUUAUACAAAGUGGUAUUGAUAAUAGCUACUUACUCAAAACUACUCAGAAUAAGAUCAGUUUCUAGCAUGACAGUAUGAGGAGCCGCCUGACCCACUCCUCCAGGUAAACUGGUAAAAACAGCCAUUUAAGGCUUCUGGAAAUAGUCCCAAGGAAAAACAGCAAAGGAAGGAACCUGUAUUCAAGAAAAUGUACUAAUUUGGUAGAAGAGGUGAAUCUGUGGGAUUUGAAACAAGACCACUUCUUUCCUCCCCACUCCCAGCUCAGCACGGUGGCAAUUUCCCUCCAGACAGCUACUGCUGAAACACAGGUCUCCUCUCCUCCCAGCACAGAGGGCCUCCUUCCAGGGAGGAGUAGGAUGGCAGUGUCCUUCAUCCUGCCCCCAGCUCCCUGUUGCUGAGGCUGUCUCAGAUGAAUGCAGUUGAGAGGUGGGGGCUGCCACCCCUACCUGCUACUCAUGGAAGGAGACUCUACCUUGGGUGUGACAUGCUGAGAAGACUGUGGCCCUGGUCACUUUUGCCCUGGCUCUUGAGGUGGUGUUUCCAUGCCAGAAGGCUCAAGUUAAGAAGACCACUGGCUAUCCCCAACUCCUCCACCAAGCACCCAGCCCCUAGGCAGGGGGUGUCACUCAGAGAAAAGCUUACCAUUGUUUCUACCCCCAGCUCCAGAGCUCUGGUUCAGAUAUUUUGUUGCAAGGUAGGGGAGAAGAAGCAGUUCAGAGAAAAAAAGGUAAUUCUUAAUCUCUUCCCAAGGGAACUGACUUCAUUUUCAACAGAGCUUGGAGAAAAUUAAGCCUAAGUAUGCUCUGAAAACACAGUGGAGGUUGUGGUGAAGGGCAAUUGGGAGAGGCUAGUUUGCAGGAGAGAACCCAGAAUAAACCACUGGGAAGGAACCCUUCUGGGGGUCAGAACAAAUAUCAAACACUGACCUCAGAAACUAUUCUUUCAAAGGAGCCACAGUUUAAUGGGGUUAGUUUGUGGAACACUUUAUGCCCCAGGAUAUUGUUGAAAACAAUAGGGCAAUUGGCCACCAAUUAAUGGAGCUUAACAGCUGGAUGUGGUUAGGGAAGUGCCAGAGAGCCCUAGCAAAACCACUGUCAUCCCAGCACGACUGUGGGCAUAUGCAAAGCUGAACCUCUUUAGGGAGCAAUAUGAGAGGCUUAACGCUUUGGGAGGGAAAAUAUACAGUUGACCUUUGGACAACACAGGUUUGAACUGCGUGAAUCCACCUAUACAUGAAUUUUUUUCCACCACUGCCAACCUUGAGACAAGACUGACCCCUAUUCUUCUCCCUCCUCUGCAGCAUACUCUACAUGCAGAUGUUGUGGAUAAAGAUCUUUAUGAUGAUCUACUUCCACCUAAUGAAUAGUAAAUGUAUUUUCUCUUCCUUAGGAUUUUCUUAAUAAUAUGCUCUUUUCUGUAACUUAUUUUACUGAAAGAGUACAGUAUAUAAUACAUAUAACACACAAAAUAUAUGUUAAUUGACUAGCUGUGUUAUCAGUGAGGCUCCUUCUGGUCAACAGUAGGCUAUUAGUAAAGUUCUGGGGCAUCAAAAGUUAUACACAAUUAUUUUACUGCAUAGGCAGUCAAUGCCCAUAACCCCUACUUUGUUCAAGUGUCAACUUUACUUCAUGAAAAUAAACCAGGCAGUCACUAAAAACAAUCAAUAAGCAAAUAACAAUAACAAGUCCUGAAGGAGGGAAAGACCAAUAUCCAGAGUCAGUAGAAUAUAUUAUCUAAAAUGUCCAGUUUCUCACAAAAAAUUACAAGGCAUGCAAACAAACAAGAAAGUAUAAUAUGAUCCAUACACCUGAAAAAAAGCAGAGAAAGAAACUAACUUUAAGAAUGAUAAGACAUAGGCUGAGUGUGCCUGUAAUCUCAGCACUUUGAGGGGUUGAGGUGGGAGGAUUGCUUGAGCCCAGGAGAGUGAGGCUAGGCAUCUAUCACACCACUGUGCUCUAGCCUGGGUGACAAAGUGAGACCCUGUCAAAAAAAAGAAAAAAAAAAAACCCUCAAAAAACCUGUUAUAAGCAUGUUCACAGAGCUAAAAGAAGGGAUGAUGACCAUGUUCCAUCAAAUAGAGAAUGCCAACAGAGAGACAGAAUAAUCAAAUGGAAAUUCUGGAUUUGAAAAGUACAAUAAUUGAAAUGAAAUAUUCACUAAAGGGGCUCAAAAGUAGAUUUGAACUGGCAGAAGAAAGAAUAUGUGAAAUUGAAGAUAGAUCAAUAGAGACUAUGCAAGCUGAAGAACAGAAGAAGGAAUAAUGAAAAGUGAAGAGCACUUCAGAAAAUGUGAGACACCAUUAAGUGCACCAACAUACAUGUAAUGGAAGUAUCAGAAGGAAAGGAGAGAAAGGAGCAGAAAAAUCUUGAAGAUUAAGUGGGAAGAUCACUUGAGCUCAGGAGUUUGAGACCAGCCUGGGCAACCUAGUGAGACUUCACCUCUGUUAAAAAAAAUAGCUGGGUGUGGUGAUGUGCACCUGUAGUCCCAGCUAUUCAGAAGGCUGAGGUGGAAGAUUUUUUUAAGCUCGGGAUUUCUGCACUACAGUAAGCUAUGAUCGUGCCACUGCACUCCAGCCUGGGUGAAAGAGCGAGACCCUGUCUCAAUUUUUUUUUUUUCUGAAGAACUAGUGUCUGGAAGCUCCCCAAAUUUACUGAUAGAUAUUUGUCUGUAGUUUUCUUUUCUUGUAAUGUCUUUUUCUGCUUUUGGUACUAGGAUAAUGCUAGCGUCAUCGAAUGAGUUAGAAAGUAUUCCCUUUUCAUCUAUCUUCUGAAAGAGCUUAUAAGGGAAUUGGUAUAGUUUCUUCCUGAAGUGUUGGUGGAAUUCACCAAUGAACUCAUCUGGGCCUGGUACUUUCUGUUUUAGAAGGUUAUUAAUUAUUGAUUCAAUUUCUUUAAUAAAUAUAAGCCUAUUCAGAUUGUCUAUUUCUUCUUGUGUGAGUUUUUCUAGAUUGCAUCCUUCAAAAUAUUGGUCUAUUUCAUCUAAGUUAUCAGAUUUUUGGGCAUAGAACUGUUCAUAGUAUUCCCAAGUUUAUUGAAAAGCAAUAACCUACACAUCCAGAAAGCUCAACAAACUUCAAGUAAGAUAAAUAAAAGCAAAGAGAUACUAAACAGCCACAUCAUAGUACAAAUGCUGAAUUAAAGAUACAGAGAAAAUCUUGAAAGGAG
rnacentral:lncRNA from 1 species